AGGCGGCCUAAAAUUGUCGCAUUCUUCCAGCUUCACGCACUUGUUGUCUCUGUCUCUUCGUAGGUAAUUAUCUUUGCAGAAGCACUUGCUCACGGAGUCCAGAGUGCAAGCAAUAGUCUUUCCGUUAGGAUAGUGUGGCAGAUAGCGACAGUUCGCCUCCCCGCAAGAACCACUUUGACCUUCCUUCCAUGUUUCACGCUGAGUGCAGUUGUGAGAACCAGGAGUCGCAGAGCCUGAAGCACCCGGCAGUCUUCCAUGUCCGCCAGCGAUACUUCCACCUUAAAUAAAAAGAUCAAAAGAAAUAGUUGAAUGCUCAGCCAAUUUUGGUUACCACAGAAGCUGCGGCCACCGAGUGCCAUAGGAGCAGUGUAAUAGACACAAAUGAGAUUGCAAUGAUGUGGCUUUGAAAACU
rnacentral:lncRNA from 1 species